CAACCAUCAAGCCUGGCUUGUCGUUGGACCCCUUUGCGACUGAAACAUGUAGCAGGUCCGAAAGAUAAUGACGGUGUCGUGUUUGACCCUAGAUGCAACGAGCUUUUCAUAGCACGCAUUGAAGUGGUCGGUCGACCCGGUCUUGACCAUCAUUUUCUAAGGUUGACCUCGGAUCAGGUAGGAAUACCCGCUGAACUUAA
rnacentral:misc_RNA from 1 species